CAGCAGCCGCGGGAAUACGGAGGGUGCGAGCGUUAAUCGGAAUUACUGGGCGUAAAGCGUACGCAGGCGGUUUGUUAAGUUAGAUGUGAAAUCCCCGAGCUUAACUCGGGAACUGCAUUUGAAACUGGCAGGCUAGAGUCUCGUAGAGGGGGGUAGAAUUCCAGGUGUAGCGGUGAAACGCGUAGAGAUCUGGAGGAAUACCGGUGGCGAAGGCGGCCCCCUGGACGAAGACUGACGCUCAGGUACGAAGGCGUGGGGAGCAAACAGGAUUAGAUACCCCGGUAGUCCCUGUCUCUUAUAA
rnacentral:rRNA from 1 species